rnacentral:rRNA from 1 species
UGGGGAAUUGUUCACAAUGGGCGCAAGCCUGAUGACGCAACGCCGCGUGGAGGAUGAAGGUCUUCGGAUUGUAAACUCCUGUUGCUCGGGACGAAAAGCUCCGACCUAACACGUCGGAGUCUGACGGUACCGGGUGAGGAAGCCCCGGCUAACUCUGUGCCAGCAGCCGCGGUAAUACAGAGGGGGCAAGCGUUGUUCGGAAUUACUGGGCGUAAAGGGCGCGUAGGCGGCCUGUUAAGUCGAACGUGAAAUCCCCGGGCUCAACCCGGGAACUGCGUCCGAUACUGGCAGGCUUGAAUCCGGGAGAGGGAUGUGGAAUUCCAGGUGUAGCGGUGAAAUGCGUAGAUAUCUGGAGGAACACCGGUGGCGAAGGCGGCAUCCUGGACCGGUAUUGACGCUGAGGCGCGAAAGCCAGGGGGAGCAAACGGGAUUAGAUACCCCGGUAGUCCUGGCCCUAAACGAUGAAUGCUUGGUGUGGCGGGUAUCGAUCCCUGCCGUGCCGAGCUAACGC